GACGAACGCUGGCGGCGUGCUUAACUCAUGCAAGUCGAACGGUAAGGCCCUUCGGGGUACACGAGUGGCGAACGGGUGAGUAACACGUGGGUGAUCUGCCCUGCACUUCGGGAUAAGCCUGGGAAACUGGGUCUAAUACCGGAUAGGACCCUGGGAUGCAUGUCCUGGGGUGGAAAGCUUUUGCGGUGUGGGAUGGGCCCGCGGCCUAUCAGCUUGUUGGUGGGGUGAUGGCCUACCAAGGCGACGACGGGUAGCCGGCCUGAGAGGGUGACCGGCCACACUGGGACUGAGAUACGGCCCAGACUCCUACGGGAGGCAGCAGUGGGGAAUAUUGCACAAUGGGCGCAAGCCUGAUGCAGCGACGCCGCGUGAGGGAUGACGGCCUUCGGGUUGUAAACCUCUUUCAGCACCGACGAAGCGCAAGUGACGGUAGGUGCAGAAGAAGGACCGGCCGACUACGUGCCAGCCGCCGCAGUAA
rnacentral:rRNA from 1 species